GGAUCCAUAAGCUCUAAGUGGAAGAGCGCUCAUUGGCUUCGGGGGCUUAUGAGAGGUUGGUGGUUCAAAUCCGCCUGGAUCCG
rnacentral:tRNA from 1 species